AACAAAAGAAAACGCAGCCUGGACUCUUCAAACGGCGAGAAGAACCCCAUCGAGUGCGACCUCAGAAAUAAACGAGACUUAGUACCUGCAAGGAGAGACAAACAUGGAUUCAUCUGUUUCCAAGCUGUUUCUGGGGGAUGUUCUUGGAUUCCUGUGUGACAACCCUGUUACACAGCAGUGUGCAGAGACUGCUGACUUAGGGGAUGGAGAGGCACAGCUGACUUUUGUUCCAUGCACAGUAAUGAAAAUCAAAAGUGUCACCGACUGACUAGGCGCCUCGAGAAACUCAAAGGCUGCACAGACUGCAUCCCAUGUUUAGAGGAACGUCAAAGGAAGGCUUGUCCUCGCCAGCACCCGGCAGAAGCAGCCCCUCAGUGUGCAGGCAUGAAGGUGUCCUCAGAGAGCCGCAGGAAGAAAAGGAAGACAGAGGUAGAAGAAGAUG